rnacentral:rRNA from 1 species
UACGGAGGGUGUAAGCGUUAUCCGGAAUCAUUGGGUUUAAAGGGUCCGUAGGCGGACUAAUAAGUCAGAGGUGAAAUCCCACAGCUUAACUGUGGAACUGCCUUUGAUACUGUUAGUCUUGAGUUAUAUUGAAGUAGAUGGAAUGUGUAGUGUAGCGGUGAAAUGCAUAGAUAUUACACAGAACACCGAUUGCGAAGGCAGUCUACUAAGUAUAUACUGACGCUGAGGGACGAAAGCGUGGGGAUCAAACAGG